rnacentral:rRNA from 1 species
UCCUCUGUGCUGAUGUGAACGCAUAAGCACUCCGCCUGGGGAGUACGCCCGCAAGGCUGAAAGUCAAAAGAAUCGACGGGGGACCGCACAAGCGGCGGAGCAUGUGGUCAAUUAUUCCGCAACGCGAAGAACCUUACCAGGUCUUGACAUCCUCUGCAAUCGGUAGAGAUACCGAGUUCCCUUUGGGGACAGAGUGACAGGUGGCGCAUGGUAACGUCAGCUUUCGUCCUGAGAUGCAGAGCUAGUCGAUCCAACGAGCGCAAUCCCUCAUCUUAGUUGCCAGCAUUUAGUUGGUCACUCUAAGGGGAAGAUUCGGUGACAAACCGGAGGAAGGGGGGGAUGACGUCAAAUCAUCAUGCCCCUUAUGACAUGGGCUACUCACGUGGUACAAUGGAUGGAACAAAGGGAAGCAAAACCGUGAGGUCAAGCAAAUCCCAUAAAACCAUUCUCAGUUAGGAGUGCAGGAUGCAACUCGCUUGCAUGAAGCCGGAAUGGCUAGUAAUCGCGGAUCAGCAUGCCGCGGGGAAUACGUUCCCGGGCCUUGUACACACCGCCCGUCACACCACGAGAGUUGGUAACACCCGAAGUCGGUGAGGUAACCUUUUGGAGCCAGCCGCCGAAGGUGGGACCAAUGAAGGGGGGAAGUAUAGACAAGGAAGCCGAUCUGAAUG